rnacentral:rRNA from 1 species
GGUCAGGUAGAGAAUACCGAGGCGUUCGGGUGAACUAUGGUUAAGGAACUCGGCAAAAUGCCCCCGUAACUUCGGGAGAAGGGGGGCCAUCACCGGUGAUCCGAUUUACUCGGUGAGCUGGGGGUGGCCGCAGAGACCAGCGAGAAGCGACUGUUUACUAAAAACACAGGUCCGUGCGAAGCCGUAAGGCGAUGUAUACGGACUGACGCCUGCCCGGUGCUGGAACGUUAAGGGGACCGGUUAGCUGCCUUUCGGGGUGGCGAAGCUGAGAACUUAAGCGCCAGUAAACGGCGGUGGUAACUAUAACCAUCCUAAGGUAGCGAAAUUCCUUGUCGGGUAAGUUCCGACCUGCACGAAUGGCGUAACGACUUCUCGACUGUCUCAACCAUAGGCCCGGUGAAAUUGCACUACGAGUAAAGAUGCUCGUUUCGCGCAGCAGGACGGAAAGACCCCGGGACCUUUACUAUAGUUUGAUAUUGGUGUUCGGUUCGGCUUGUGUAGGAUAGGUGGGAGACUGUGAAGCGGCCACGCCAGUGGUUGUGGAGUCGCCGUUGAAAUACCACUCUGGUCGUGCUGGAUGUCUAACCUGGGUCCGUGAUCCGGAUCAGGGACAGUGUCUGAUGGGUAGUUUAACUGGGGCGGUUGCCUCCUAAAGAGUAACGGAGGCGCCCAAAGGUUCCCUCAGCCUGGUUGGCAAUCAGGUGUUGAGUGUAAGUGCACAAGGGAGCUUGACUGUGAGACCGACGGGUCGAGCAGGGACGAAAGUCGGGACUAGUGAUCCGGCAGUGGCUUGUGGAAGCGCUGUCGCUCAACGGAUAAAAGGUACCCCGGGGAUAACAGGCUGAUCUUCCCCAAGAGUCCAUAUCGACGGGAUGGUUUGGCACCUCGAUGUCGGCUCGUCGCAUCCUGGGGCUGGAGUCGGUCCCAAGGGUUGGGCUGUUCGCCCAUUAAAGCGGUACGCGAGCUGGGUUUAGAACGUCGUGAGACAGUUCGGUCCCUAUCCGCUGCGCGCGUAGGAAUAUUGAGAAGGGCUGUCCCUAGUACGAGAGGACCGGGACGGACGAACCUCUGGUGUGCCAGUUGUCCUGCCAAGGGCAUGGCUGGUUGGCUACGUUCGGAAAGGAUAACCGCUGAAAGCAUCUAAGCGGGAAGCCUGCUUCGAGAUGAGUGUUCCCACCCCCUUUGAGGGGUUAAGGCUCCCAGUAGACGACUGGGUUGAUAGGCCAGAUGUGGAAGCCCGGUAACGGGUGGAGCUGACUGGUACUAAUAGGCCGAGGGCUUGUCCUCAGUUG